GCCUCCCUCCGCCCGCCACAUCUGUUCCCUCCCGGCGCGGUUUGCCUGCAGGCCAUUGGUUCUCCGCCCCGCCAGUCCCGCACCCUCCGUCUCCGCGGCCGCCGCUGCGUGAAAUGGGCGUGACCGGACCGAGAGAAGCAGCUUGAGGCAGCUUGAGGGGCUUGUAUCACACGCUCCUCUGCCUACCUGUGGGUAAGAGAAGGUGCUUAGAAUGAGGCAACACAUCAGGCAGAAGCCAUCUGAUCCAUCAAAGGGAAACUUUCACCAUGAUCACAGCCUUUGGGUUCAGCUCUGCUCAAGCCAGAGAGCCAC